rnacentral:rRNA from 1 species
AACGAACGCUGGCGGCGCGUCUUAAGCAUGCAAGUCGAACGGCAUGAGGAAGCUUGCUUCCUCAGAGAGUGGCGGACUGGUGAGUAACACGUGGGUGACCUACCCUUGAGAUGGGGAUAGCCAUUAGAAAUAGUGGAUAAUACCGAAUACGCUCUACGGACUCUGGUUUGUAGAGGAAACAGGCUACGGCCUGGCUCGAGGAUGGGCCCGCGUCCCAUUAGCUAGUUGGUGAGGUAAGAGCCCACCAAGGCGACGAUGGGUAUCCGGCCUGAGAGGGUGUACGGACACAUUGGGACUGAGAUACGGCCCAAAACUCCUACGGGAGGCAGCAGCUAAGAAUAUUCCGCAAUGGACGAAAAGUCUGACGGAGCGACGCCGCGUGGAUGACGAAGGCCGAAAAGGUUGUAAAAAUCCUUUUGCUGAUGAAGAAUAAAGCAAUCGGCUAAACUCCGUGCCCAAGCAAGCCGCGGUAAAAAGUGUGUGUA